UCCAGGCAAAUCCGGAUAAUCAAGGCUGAGGUGUGAUGACGAGGCACUACGGUGCUGAAGUAACAAAUGCCCUGCUUCCAGGAAAAGCCUCUAAGCAUCAGGUAACAUUAAAUCGUACCCCAAACCGACACAGGUGGUCAGGUAGAGAAUACCAAGGCGCUUGAGAGAACUCGGGUGAAGGAACUAGGCAAAAUGGUGCCGUAACUUCGGGAGAAGGCACGCUGGUGUGUAGGUGAAGUCCCUGCGGAUGGAGCUGAGACCAGUCGAAGAUACCAGCUGGCUGCAACUGUUUAUUAAAAACACAGCACUGUGCAAACACGAAAGUGGACGUAUACGGUGUGACGCCUGCCCGGUGCCGGAAGGUUAAUUGAUGGGGUUAUCCGUAAGGAGAAGCUCUUGAUCGAAGCCCCGGUAAACGGCGGCCGUAACUAUAACGGUCCUAAGGUAGCGAAAUUCCUUGUCGGGUAAGUUCCGACCUGCACGAAUGGCGUAAUGAUGGCCAGGCUGUCUCCACCCGAGACUCAGUGAAAUUGAACUCGCUGUGAAGAUGCAGUGUACCCGCGGCAAGACGGAAAGACCCCGUGAACCUUUACUAUAGCUUGACACUGAACAUUGAGCCUUGAUGUGUAGGAUAGGUGGGAGGCUUUGAAGCGUGGACGCCAGUCUGCGUGGAGCCAACCUUGAAAUACCACCCUUUAAUGUUUGAUGUUCUAACGUUGGCCCCUGACCGGGGUUGCGGACAGUGUCUGGUGGGUAGUUUGACUGGGGCGGUCUCCUCCCAAAGCGUAACGGAGGAGCACGAAGGUUAGCUAAUCCUGGUCGGACAUCAGGAGGUUAGUGCAAUGGCAUAAGCUAGCUUGACUGCGAGCGUGACGGCGCGAGCAGGUGCGAAAGCAGGUCAUAGUGAUCCGGUGGUUCUGAAUGGAAGGGCCAUCGCUCAACGGAUAAAAGGUACUCCGGGGAUAACAGGCUGAUACCGCCCAAGAGUUCAUAUCGACGGCGGUGUUUGGCACCUCGAUGUCGGCUCAUCACAUCCUGGGGCUGAAGUAGGUCCCAAGGGUAUGGCUGUUCGCCAUUUAAAGUGGUACGCGAGCUGGGUUUAGAACGUCGUGAGACAGUUCGGUCCCUAUCUGCCGUGGGCGCUGGAGAAUUGAGGGGGGCUGCUCCUAGUACGAGAGGACCGGAGUGGACGCAUCACUGGUGUUCGGGUUGUCAUGCCAAUGGCACUGCCCGGUAGCUAAAUGCGGAAGAGAUAAGUGCUGAAAGCAUCUAAGCACGAAACUUGCCCCGAGAUGAGUUCUCCCUGAGACUUUAAGUCUCCUGAAGGAACGUUGAAGACGACGACGUUGAUAGGCCGGGUGUGUAAGCGCAGCGAUGCGUUGAGCUAACCGGUACUAAUGAACCGUGAGGCUUAACCUU
rnacentral:rRNA from 1 species